rnacentral:piRNA from 1 species
UCGUAUUUGAAAUGGCUACUUAUAUGCAAA